GUGCCAGCCGCCGCGGUAACACGUAGGGUGCGAGCGUUGUCCGGAAUUAUUGGGCGUAAAGAGCUCGUAGGCGGUGUGUCGCGUCGGCCGUGAAAACCUGCAGCUUAACUGUGGGCGUGCGGUCGAUACGGGCAUCACUGGAGUUCGGCAGGGGAGACUGGAAUUCCUGGUGUAGCGGUGAAAUGCGCAGAUAUCAGGAGGAACACCGGUGGCGAAGGCGGGUCUCUGGGCCGAUACUGACGCUGAGGAGCGAAAGCGUGGGGAGCGAACAGGAUUAGAAACCCGGGUAGUCC
rnacentral:rRNA from 1 species